rnacentral:lncRNA from 1 species
AAAGAAGAAAGAGGAAAAGAAGGACAAAAAAGGAAGAAAAGAAAGAGAAGAAGGAAAGAAAAGAAAGGCAAGCAAACAGCAUGGGAGAGUUUAGUAUUGAGGAAAAGUGGGUGAAGGGCACACAGGACAUCUUUGUACCAUUUUUGCAUGUUCCCGAGUGCAACCCCUGUGUGGCCCUGCUUGGCGUGCAGUGUCUACCUCGGGCUGUGACUAUGUGACUCAUAAACCGUUGUGGAUCUCAUCUGCCCAGUGUUGGGCGUUGCGUGUUCAGCCAUCCCCAGAACGCUAGGGUGGGACUCUCUCCGUCACCAAUGGUCUCUGGUGUCUUUAUCUUUGUGUAUUCCAAGUCAUAAAAUAGAAAGCUGUUAGAGCAGAUUGAGUCACUUCUGUUUGCCUUGAUUUACUUACAUUUCCUCCCUUUGUUGAGAAAAUGUCAACAACCCAGAGUUUGCAUUUCAGGGGUUGGUGCAUUUCAGGGUGGGAAGAGCUGCACCACCAGGGCGGCUGGCAGCUGCAGGGGCGGGCACCUCAAAGGAGUGAGGGAGCAACACGUGGAUGUAUUGAGACCACAGGAGGAAGGGAGCUUAUUAU